rnacentral:rRNA from 1 species
UACGAAGGGUGCAAACGUUGCUCGGAAUUAUUGGGCGUAAAGCGCACGUAGGCGGCUUGGCAAGUCGGAUGUGAAAGCCCUCGGCUCAACCAAGGAAGUGCAUCCGAAACUGCUGAGCUUGAGUACUUAAGAGGAUCGCGGAAUUCCCGGUGUAGAGGUGAAAUUCGUAGAUAUUCGCAAGAACACCAGUGGCGAAGGCGGCUCACUGGCCCGGUACUGACGCUGAGGAGCGAAAGCGUGGGGAGCGAACAGG